rnacentral:rRNA from 1 species
CACGUAGGGCGCAAGCGUUGUCCGGAAUUAUUGGGCGUAAAGAGCUCGUAGGCGGACUGUCACGUCUGCUGUGAAAAGCUGGGGCUUAACCCUGGCCUUGCAGUGGAUACGGGCAGACUAGAGGUAGGUAGGGGAGAAUGGAAUUCCCGGUGUAGCGGUGAAAUGCGCAGAUAUCGGGAGGAACACCGGUGGCGAAGGCGGGUCUCUGGGCAGUAACUGACGCUGAGGAGCGAAAGCGUGGGGAGCGAACAGG